UUGUGGACUCUAUUAUUCUAAUGAUCUAUGUGUCUGUUUUUAUGCAAAUACCAUACUGUUUUGAUUACUAUUAUUUUAUAGUAUAGUUUGAAAUUUGGGAGUGUGAGCUCUCCAGCCUUGUUAUUCUUUCUCAAGAUUGUUUUGGCUAUUCAGGAUCUUUUGUGGUUCCACACAAAUUUUAGAAUUGUUUGUUCUAUUUCUGUGGAAAAAUACCAUUGGAAUUUUGAUAGGGAUUGCAGUGAAUCUACAGAUUUCAUUUGGUAAGAUGGACAUUUUAACAAUAUUAAUUCUUCCAAUCCAUGAGCACAAAAUAGCUUUCCAUUUAUUAGUGUCUUCUGCAAUUUAUCUCAUCAAUGUCUCAGAGUUUUCCGAGUACAGAUCUUUUACCUCCCUGCUUAAAUUUAUUUCUAGAUAUUUUAGUCUUUUUGAUGCACUUAUAAAUGGGAUUAUUCUCUUAAAUUCUCUUUCUGAUAGUUCAUUGUUAGUAUACAAAAAUGCAGGAAUGGUGUGGAGGGUGGAGUGCUCACCUGCUGACACUUACAGGCUAGAGUAAGGAUAAAAAAACGACAUCCACGCACACCUGCAAUCAGCAAGGCAGAGGGAGAGUGUGAAGAUGGCUCCUGCCUGUGCCUCCGACCCAGAGAGAGUCCCAACAAGCUUCUGCACCUCCAGCAAGUGACUUAAGAUCCAGGACCUGCCUGCCCGUAUUCCCUUCCAGGCUGCCGAAUGCCAAGACCUGCUCCAGACGAAGGCUGCUUUGGCCAACCAAGACUCAUCUGCCCCCAGGGGGUCACAUGGCCAAGCCAGAGGAGACAGCAAGAAGCCAAAUCAACUCUGGGCCAGGUGGAUUCCCCAUUUAAGAGCCAUUGAUGCUUUGCGGUAAAGACCAGAGCGUGGAGAGAGGUGCUGGUGCCGCCCUUUCAGGAGCUACCCCUCCUGCGGUGAGUACAACCAAUUCGUGUACGAACAGAUCAAUUUGCAUGGUAUUAGUUAUUUAUUUUAUAGUAGUUAUUCCCUCAGUCGUGGUAUGCCCUACACCAUUAUUCGCCACUUGCCAAGUGACUUAAGAGCACG